UUGGCUUGGAAGCAGCCAUUCAUUUAAAGAGUGCGUAACAGCUCACUAGUCGAGCGGUUCGGCAUGGAUAAUAAUCGGGCAUAAGCAUAUUACCGAAGCUAUGGCAACGAAAGUUGGGUAGGGGAGCAUUCUAUCGGCGCAGAAGCAUCACUGUGAGGUGUUGUGGAGCUUAUAGAAAAGAAAAUGUAGGCAUAAGUAACGAUAAAGCAGGCGAGAAACCUGCUCACCGAAAGACUAAGGGUUCCUCAGCCAUGCUAAUCAGCUGAGGGUUAGUCGGGACCUAACGCGAACCCGAGAGGGGAAGUGGAUGGACAAUGGGUUAAUAUUCCCAUACUUGCUCACGAAUAAAGGGGACGGUUCAGCCAGACUACUGGAGACUGACGGAAUAGUCAAGACCUAGCCUACGGGCGAAGUUGUUGUAGAGUAACUGGAUCCAAGAAAAGCCGAAGUGAAGCAACCCGUACCAUAAACCGACACAGGUAGUCGAGGAGAGAAUCCUAAGGUGCUCGAGUGAGUCGUGGCUAAGGAACUAGGCAAAAUAGUCUCGUAACUUCGGAAUAAGAGACGCCAACAGCGAUGUUGGCCGCAGUGAAGAGGCCCAGGCGACUGUUUAUCAAAAACACAGGACUCUGCUAAAUCGAAAGAUGCUGUAUAGGGUCUGACACCUGCCCGGUGCUGGAAGGUUAAGGAAGGUGCUUAGCGUAAGCGAAGGCAUUGACUGAAGCCCCAGUAAACGGCGGCCGUAACUAUAACGGUCCUAAGGUAGCGAAAUUCCUUGUCGGGUAAGUUCCGACCUGCACGAAUGGUGUAACGAUCUGGGCACUGUCUCAGCCACGAGCUCGGUGAAAUUGUAGUAUCGGUGAAGAUGCCGAUUACCCGCAAUGGGACGAAAAGACCCUGUGAACCUUUACUAUAACUUCGUAUUGACUUUGAGUAAGUAAUGUGUAGGAUAGGUGGGAGGCUAUGAAGCUGGCACGCUAGUGUUGGUGGAGCCGUUGUUGAAAUACCACCCUUUGCUUACUUGGAGCCUAACUUCUGAAUAAGAGUAAGAAGGACAUUGCGUGGUGGGUAGUUUGACUGGGGUGGUCGCCUCCAAAAGAGUAACGGAGGCUUUCAAAGGUACCCUCAGCACGCUUGGUAACCGUGCGUAGAGUGUAAUGGCAUAAGGGUGCUUGACUGUGAGACCAACAAGUCGAUCAGGUGCGAAAGCAGGACAUAGUGAUCCGGUGGUUCCGUAUGGAAGGGCCAUCGCUCAUAGGAUAAAAGGUACUCCGGGGAUAACAGGCUGAUCGCUCCCAAGAGCUCAUAUC
rnacentral:rRNA from 1 species